AACGAACGCUGGCGGCAGGCCUAACACAUGCAAGUCGAACGCCCUAGCAAUAGGGAGUGGCAGACGGGUGAGUAACGCGUGGGAACGUACCCUUCGGUUCGGAAUAACCCAGGGAAACUUGGACUAAUACCGGAUACGUGCGAGAGCAGAAAGAUUUAUCGCCGAAGGAUCGGCCCGCGUCCGAUUAGCUAGUUGGUGAGGUAAUGGCUCACCAAGGCGACGAUCGGUAGCUGGUCNGAGAGGAUGAUCAGCCACACUGGGACUGAGACACGGCCCAGACUCCUACGGGAGGCAGCAGUGGGGAAUAUUGGACAAUGGGCGCAAGCCUGAUCCAGCCAUGCCGCGUGAGUGAUGAAGGCCCUAGGGUUGUAAAGCUCCUUCGCCAGGGACGAUAAUGACGGUACCUGGAUAAGAAGCCCCGGCUAACUUCGUGCCAGCCGCCGCCGUAAC
rnacentral:rRNA from 1 species